GACGAACGCUGGCGGCGUGCUUAACACAUGCAAGUCGAACGGAAAGGCCCUGCUUUUGUGGGGUGCUCGAGUGGCGAACGGGUGAGUAACACGUGAGUAACCUGCCCUUUACUUUGGGAUAACUUCAGGAAACUGGGGCUAUUACCGGAUAUGAGCUCCUUCUGCAUGGUGUUGGUUGGAAAGUUUCGGCGUUUGGUGAUGGACUCGCGGCUUAUCAGCUUGUUGGUGGGGUAGUGGAUUACCAAGGCUUUGACGGGUAGCCGGCCUGAGAGUGUGACCGGCCACAAUGGGACUGAGAUACGAGCCAGACUGCUACGGGAGGAAGAAGUGGGAAAUAGUGCACAAUGGGCGGAAGCAGGAAGCAGCAACGCCGCGUGGGGGAUGACGGUCGGCGGGUUGUAACCCGCUUUAGCCUGUGACGAAGAGUGAGUGACGGUAAUGGGUAAAGAAGCAACGGCUAACUACGUG
rnacentral:rRNA from 1 species